UCCUACUCCCCACACCUUGCCUAGUUCACAAGACAGGAGGAGAGAGAAAGCAAAAAGUUAGAAAGAAACCAAAGUAAGAUAAAUAGCCAGACAACCUCAGCACCACCACCCUGCCCUAGGAGUUAAAGAAAUAAUAAUAAUAACAUCAAUCCCUGACCUAAACUACUUGUGUUAUCUGUAAAUUCCAGACACUGUAUGAAAAAAGCAUUGUAAAACUUUUUGUUCUGUUAGCUGAGGCAUGUAGCCCCCAGUCAUGUUUCCCAUGCUUGCUCGAUUUAUCACGACACUUUCACGUGGACCUCUUAAAGUUGUAAGCCUUUAAAAAGGCGAAGAACUUCUUUUGGGGGAAGCUGGGCUCUUAAGACGCGAGUCUGCCGACGCUCCCGGCGGAAUAAAAAACCUCUUCCUUCUUUAAUCCGGUGUCUGAGGAGUUUUGUCUGCAGCUCUCCUGCUACAUUUCUUGGUUCCCUGACCGGGAAGCGAGGUGAUUAACCAACUGUGGAAGCAGCCCCUUAGGCAGCUUAUGCCUGCCCUGUAGAGCAUCCCUGUGGGGGACGCUGGCCAGCUUGAGCGACGCGGAUCCUGAGAGCGUUCUCAGGUAGGCAUUUGCCCUGGUGGAACACCUCGUCAGAGCAGUGCACAGCAGGCCCCCACGGAGGAUCAAGGCAGUGGCUGAACACCGGGAAGGAACUGGCACUUUAAGUCCGGACAUCUGAAACUUGUUGCAGGUGUUGUGUCUUGGAUCCACCACAGUCAGCUAACACUGGCAGCUCAGGACAAGUGGACCAGCCAGCAGGACACAGAUCAUCCAACCCAGCUGAUCCUGAGACGAGACCAAGCUGCUGCUGAGGAUGACAGUCCUGGUCUGGUCACUCUGGAGGCUGACCAGUCUACCCACGACUGAAGCUUGAGGAGACAACAAGCCCUGCUCUAGUCACACACCGGCAGCUGACUAGUCUACGCAUGGCCGAAGCUUGAGGACUCAUCAAGCAAGUAAAUGGAGUUAAAAAUCUUAGGACUAAUAGUUUUCCUGUAAUACUGUUUUCCUAUUGUUCUGUCACUGUAUUCAACCUUUUUCCCAGGUAAGGACCUCUUUUGUCCUUGCUGAUAUGAAUAUGCUGUACAUUGUUUUGUUCUUGUUACCCCCGCAUGACCAUGCUAGAAGAAACACCUAUAUAAGGUGUCCCCACUGUACACAUACUACUUAGGAAACCCAGACCCAUCCAGCCCAGCAACAA